rnacentral:lncRNA from 1 species
CUUCCAGAACCAAUAAUAAAAUCUACAUCUCCAGGCUGUGAAAAAUCCAUUUCCAUUUGUUUUUUUUUUUUUUUUUUUUUUGCAGAGAAACAGCACAAGGGAAAGACCAGCAAGUAGUGGAACUGGUCAGUGCAUCUGCCAUCCCCAGGUGCUGUCCUGACCUUUUUGUAUACUUGGGAAGAAGCAAAAGUCUUCCUUGCAAGAGUGCUGACUUGGAGCAUUGGUGCCAACUUGAGGUCAUCCUGGACUCAUUACUUUGUACUCUCCACGAAUCAUGUUCUGCUUUAAAUCAUGUACAUAACCCACUCCACUCACCAUUGAGAGGGAGGAACAUUAUUGCAUCAUGUUGCUACAUCAUCACAAUGAUGAACAAUGCUUAAAUUUAUUUGUAUGUAUAUUUAAAGACCUUUUAAAUUUAAAUUAAAUUAUAAUUCAGAGGCAUCCUCAUGAAAUGUCCAAAAUAUACCAGUCAGGAAAAUGGAAUUUUCUUUUUUUCUCAUUCUUUUCUGUACUAAAAGUUGAUAAGUUUUCAAGACAAUUUUACUUUUAUAUUGAGAUAAUAUGAGCAUCUCUUACAUCACUUCAUACUUAUACCCCAUUAAAUCUGUUAUAGCCUAUUAAAUAUUUAUAAUCUAUUGACUGGGCUAUCAGAUUUAGCAAUAAAAAUAUAGGAUACCCAGUUAAUUUGGAUUUCAGAUAAAUCAUGGAAUUUCAAAAACUUAUUUGGGCCAUUGUUUCCUAAACAAUUACUCAUUGUUCACCUGAAAUUUGAAUUUAAUUUGCAGCGAUGUAUUCUAUCUUAUAGUCUUAUUUGUUGAUUUGUUAAAAUUUUCUAGUAAAAAUAAUUCUAACACUAAGAAAAAGACCACAAUAGGAACCCAUUCUGACAUGAUGAAUUAUCACUUAUAGUUAGAUAUACUAAAGGCUAGAGAAUAAUCUGUCAAAGUAUAAUAUGCCCAGACUAACACAAUUUAGGAUGGCUUCAUCCUUAUCCCAUUUUCAUAAAAGUGUUCAUUGAUUAUCUAUGAUUUUAGGAACUAAUUAUACUAAUUACAGACAUAGCCAGUGCAGCAGAAUUUACUUUGAAGUUGGGUAGGAAGCUCUGAUACUCAAGAGAGAAAUGCAGCCAUGGAAGUGAUGCAAUUAUUUAUGUGCAAAGAGAAGAGGCCUAGAACAGAAACAUAAAGACCCCUGCAUGUAAGGGGUGACAGAAGAAGACUACUCUAGAAAGAUACUGAGAAAGAGCAUCAGGGGGAGGUGGAGAGGAGGAAGCAUUCUCCGUUGAACAUUCCCCAAUGAAAUAAACCACAAUCCCUUGAAAAGAUGGCUACUUCUAUGACAAAGGGGGUAAGGGAAGAUUCAAGACAAGGCUGAAAUAUUGGUGGUACCAGAAAUAAGUACUGAAUAAGUUUGAAAAGAUGGUGUAGAAGAGUCACAAGGAUCCAGGAACCAACAUGAGGGACUCCCCUAGGCCUGAACAGUAGUAAUAUACCAGGAUUCACUAAAUAAAAUUUGAUUCCAUGAGUCUCUACUGAUAAGAGUGAAAAAUAGAUGAUAGAUAGAUGAUGGAUGAAUAGGUAGGUAGAUAAAGAAAAGAAGGGAAACUUUUCUGUUACAGUGACAUGCUGACUAAUAAAUAUAGAAAGAAUGAUGGAAUCAUCAUUGUGUUACCAUAAUUAUAAAAAUUGACUCAAGAAGGAAUCAGAGGUGAAGGUGGAGUUAAAAUGAGUAUCUUUCCCCAAAUUACUAUUAUAGUUUAUCUUCAUUAUUCACGAAUUCCACAUUUGUGAAUUCACCUGUUCCUUAAAAUCCGUUGG